GACGAACGCUGGCGGCGUGCCUAAUACAUGCAAGUCGAACGGAAGUAAGAAGCUUGCUUUUUACUUUAGUGGCGCACGGGUGAGUAACGCGUGGAUAAUCUGCCUGAUGCUCUGGGAUAACAUCUCGAAAGGGGUGCUAAUACCGGAUAAGCCCACGAGAACUUCGGUUUUUGCGGGAAAAGGAGGGGACCUUCGGGCCUUCCGACAUCAGAUGAGUCCGCGUCCCAUUAGCUGGUUGGUGGUGUAAAGGACCACCAAGGCGACGAUGGGUAGCUGGUCUGAGAGGAUGAUCAGCCACACUGGAACUGAGACACGGUCCAGACUCCGACGGGAGGCAGCAGUGGGGAAUUUUGCGCAAUGGGGGCAACCCUGACGCAGCAACGCCGCGUGAGUGAUGAAGGCUUUCGGGUCGUAAAGCUCUGUCAGAAGGGAAGAAAUGUAGGUGGCUAAUAUCCAUUCUACUUGACGGUACCUUCAAAGGAAGCACCGGCUAACUCCGUGCCAGCCGCCGCCGUAAAAC
rnacentral:rRNA from 1 species